rnacentral:rRNA from 1 species
UACGUAGGGUGCAAGCGUUAAUCGGAAUUACUGGGCGUAAAGCGUGCGCAGGCGGUUGAGUAAGUUAGAUGUGAAAUCCCCGGGCUCAACCUGGGAACUGCAUUUAAAACUGCUCGGCUAGAGUGUGUCAGAGGGGGGUAGAAUUCCACGUGUAGCAGUGAAAUGCGUAGAGAUGUGGAGGAAUACCAAUGGCGAAGGCAACCCCCUGGGAUAACACUGACGCUCAUGUACGAAAGCGUGGGGAGCAAACAGG